CAAUAGCGUAUAUUAAAGUUGUUGCGGUUAAAAAGCUCGUAGUUGGAUUUCUGCUGAGGAUGACCGGUCCGCCCUCUGGGCUGGUAUCUGGCUCAGCCUUGGCAUCUUCCUGAAGAACGUAGCUGCACUUCACUGUGUGGUACGGUAUUUAGGACAUUUACUUUGAGGAAAUUAGAGUGUUUCAAGCAAGCGCACGCCUUGAAUACAUUAGCAUGGAAUAAUAAGAUAGGACCUCGGUUCUAUUUUGUUGGUUUCUAGAGCUGAGGUAAUGAUUGAUAGGGAUAGUUGGGGGCACCUGUAUUGCGUUGUCAGAGGUGAAAUUCUUGGAUUUACGCAAGACAAACAGCUGCGAAAGCGUCUGCCAAGGAUGUUUUCAUUNA
rnacentral:rRNA from 1 species